UACAGAGGUCUCAAGCGUUGUUCGGAUUCAUUGGGCGUAAAGGGUGCGUAGGCGGCGCGGUAAGUCGGAUGUGAAAUCUCGGAGCUUAACUCCGAAACUGCAUUCGAUACUGCCGUGCUUGAGGACUGGAGAGGAGACUGGAAUUUACGGUGUAGCGGUGAAAUGCGUAGAUAUCGUAAGGAAGACCAGUGGCGAAGGCGGGUCUCUGGACAGUUCCUGACGCUGAGGCAUGAAGGCCAGGGGAGCAAACGGG
rnacentral:rRNA from 1 species